GACGAACGCUGGCGGCGUGCCUAAUACAUGCAAGUCGAACGCUGAAGGAGGAGCUUGCUCUUCUGGAUGAGUUGCGAACGGGUGAGUAACGCGUAGGUAACCUGCCUGGUAGCGGGGGAUAACUAUUGGAAACGAUAGCUAAUACCGCAUAACAGUAGAUGUUGCAUGACAUUUGCUUAAAAGGUGCAAUUGCAUCACUACCAGAUGGACCUGCGUUGUAUUAGCUAGUUGGUGGGGUAACGGCUCACCAAGGCGACGAUACAUAGCCGACCUGAGAGGGUGAUCGGCCACACUGGGACUGAGACACGGCCCAGACUCCUACGGGAGGCAGCAGUAGGGAAUCUUCGGCAAUGGACGGAAGUCUGACCGAGCAACGCCGCGUGAGUGAAGAAGGUUUUCGGAUCGUAAAGCUCUGUUGUAAGAGAAGAACGAGUGUGAGAGUGGAAAGUUCACACUGUGACGGUAUCUUACCAGAAAGAGACGGCUAACUACGUG
rnacentral:rRNA from 1 species